AACGAACGCUGGCGGCAGGCUUAACACAUGCAAGUCGAACGGGCGUAGCAAUACGUCAGUGGCGGACGGGUGAGUAACACGUGGGAAUAUGCCUUUCGGUUCGGAACAACUCGGGGAAACCCGUGCUAAUUCCGGAUACGCCCUUACGGGGAAAGGAUUUAUCGCCGAAAGAUUAGCCCGCGUUGGAUUAGCUAGUUGGUGAGGUAAAGGCUCACCAAGGCGACGAUCCAUAGCUGGUUUGAGAGAACGACCAGCCACACUGGGACUGAGACACGGCCCAGACUCCUACGGGAGGCAGCAGU
rnacentral:rRNA from 1 species